GAGAGCACAGUACGAUGAAAGUUGUAAGUUGUGUUCGGGGGGGAGUUAUUGUCUAUCGUUGGCCUCUAUGAUAGAACCCGUCGGGGAGGCCUGAGAGGCGGUGGUUUACCCUAU
rfam:Triticum aestivum genome assembly, contig: Triticum_aestivum_CS42_TGACv1_scaffold_642548_T_2BL-0.199643_2BS-0.123542